rnacentral:rRNA from 1 species
UACAGAGGGUGCAAGCGUUAAUCGGAAUUACUGGGCGUAAAGCGAGCGUAGUCGGUUAUUUAAGUCGGGUGUGAAAGCCCCGGGCUCAACCUGGGAAUUGCAUUCGAUACUGGAUAGCUAGAGUUCGGCAGAGGGAAGCGGAAUUUCCGGUGUAGCGGUGAAAUGCGUAGAUAUCGGAAGGAACACCAGUGGCGAAAGCGGCUUCCUGGUCCAGCACCGACGUCAGGCACGAAAGCGUGGGGAGCAAACAGG